rnacentral:ncRNA from 1 species
AUGACAAGCUCCAAAUUUGAUAACGUGCCUCGUCAUUAUUCAUGGCUUUGGUGAAGUACGGUGUAAAUCCGUCGCUGUCCCGCAACUGUGAGCCCGUUAGGGUGAGCCAGAUCCCAAAGUCAGGUGAAAUAAGCCCGA